UAUGCUGACUCUCCAAGAGUGGGGAGUGGGAACAGAAGGAAGGUGGGAGCUGCCAGGCUGCCUAAGGGGGGGAUGAACCAGCUCAGGUAAAAAUAAUGCUGGUUAAAGCUUCCCAUGUUGAUCAGCAGUGGAAUCAUGGAAUCAAGCCAAAUCAAAGCUGAGGAUGAAAAGAUCAAGGCCCUCUUUCCUCACCAUGUUCCAGAGUUCCGUAGUUUGGAUGUGGGCAAGUAGUGCCUACAGAGAAAUGGGAACCCUCCUGUGGCCAAAGCCAGAUCUCAAGGUGAAUGAGGAAGGUCAUCACAGUGCUGGUUCUGAUGAUGGAACUAUUCUCCCCAAAGGUUGCUUACAUUGAAUUGAAGGGAAAUGGAGGUGUCUGGUGGGAAUGGAUCCAAUUAUCUUCAAGGUAAG